GAAAUGACUCUCGGCAACGGAUAUCUCGGCUCUCGUUAUGAUGAAGAACGUAGCGAAAUGCGAUACUUAGUGUGAAUUGCAGAAUCCCGUGAAUCAUCAAGUCUUUGAACGCAAUUUGCGCCCGAGGCCUUGGCUGAGGGCACGUUUGUCUGGGCGUCGCAU
rnacentral:rRNA from 1 species